rnacentral:rRNA from 1 species
UACGUAGGGGGCAAGCGUUGUCCGGAUUUAUUGGGCGUAAAGAGCGUGUAGGCGGCUAUACAGGUCCGCUGUGAAAACUCGAGGCUCAACCUCGAGACGUCGGUGGAAACCGUAUGGCUAGAGUCCGGAAGAGGAAAGUGGAAUUCCUGGUGUAGCGGUGAAAUGCGCAGAUAUCAGGAAGAACACCGAUGGCGAAGGCAGGUCUCUGGGCCACUACUGACGCUGAGAAGCGAAAGCAUGGGGAGCGAACAGG